rnacentral:rRNA from 1 species
AGUCGAACGCGAUUGGGGGCACUCCAGAUCGAGUGGCGCACGGGUGAGUAACACGAUAGGUAAUCUCCCCCCGAGUGGUGGAUAACCCAUCCGAAAGGAGAGCUAAUACAGCAUGAGACCACGGCUUCGAAAGGAGUUGAGGUCAAAGCGGAGGAUCGCAAGACUUCGCGCUUGGGGAUGAGCCUGCGGCCCAUCAGGUAGUUGGCGGGGUAAUGGCCCACCAAGCCAUAGACGGGUGGCUGGUCUGAGAGGAUGAUCAGCCACACUGGAACUGAGACACGGUCCAGACUCCUACGGGAGGCAGCAGUGGGGAAUCUUGCGCAAUGGACGAAAGUCUGACGCAGCGACGCCGCGUGGGUGAUGAAGGCCUUCGGGUUGUAAAGCCCUGUGGGGAGGGACGAAUAAGUUGCAGCUAAUACCUGCAGCGAUGACGGUACCUCCUUAGCAAGCACCGGCUAACUCUGUGCCAGCAGCCGCGGUAAGACAGAGGGUGCAAACGUUGUUCGGAAUUACUGGGCGUAAAGCGCGUGUAGGCGGCUAUGCAAGUCGGAUGUGAAAGCCCUCGGCUCAACCGGGGAAGUGCACCCGAAACUGCAAAGCUAGAGUCUCGGAGAGGAUCGUGGAAUUCUCGGUGUAGAGGUGAAAUUCGUAGAUAUCGAGAGGAACACCGGUGGCGAAGGCGGCGAUCUGUUCUAUUACUGAC